AUUGAACGCUAGCGGGAUGCCUUACACAUGCAAGUCGAACGGAGUGGCGAACGGGUGAGUAAUGUAUCGGAACGUGCCCUGUAGCGGGGGAUAACUACGCGAAAGCGUAGCUAAUACCGCAUACUAUUGGAGCGGCCGAGAUCGGAUGGGCUAGUUGGUGGGGUAACGGCUCCACAAGGCGACGAUCCGUAGCUGGUUUGAGAGGACGACCAGCCACCCUGCGACAGAGACACGGCCCAGACUCCUACGGGAGGCAGAGUGGGGGAAUUGUGGACAAUGGGGGAAACCCUGAUCCCGCGAUCCCGCGUGUGCGAUGAGGGCCUUCGGGUUGUAAAGCACUUUUGGCAGGAAAGUGGUACCUGAAGAAUAAGCACCGGCUAACUACGUGCCAGCAGCCGCGGUAAUAC
rnacentral:rRNA from 1 species